CAGCCUGGAUGUUGGAUUGCCUUGAAAUCUCCUCUGUCAGAUCAAUCAAUCUAAUCAUUUUUGAGCCCAGCCUCUGUCGGUGAAGAGACACCAUGACCACGGCAACUCUUAUAAAGGAAAACAUUUCAUUGGGCUGGCUUACAGGUUCAGAGGUUUAGCCCAUUGUCAUCGCGGUGGGACAUGGCGGCGUGCAGGCAGACACGGUGCCGGAGAAGGAGCUGAGGGUUCUACAUCUGGAUCCACAGGCAACAGGAAGAGAAUAAGAUAAACACAAAGGCGGCCACCUUGGCAAACAAGAACGAUGAAGAUCGGAUUACCUUCCCCUGUUCCAUUGUCCACAUCGCAGGAUCUGAAACUUGCUAAUUUCAGGAUAGAAAAGACCAUGGCACCUCUCUCCAUCAAGGCCCAUGCUUAAAUCGAUGCCGAGUCCAGCUCUUCAGACCAGCUUGGUCUCCUUUUCUGUGACCUUGCCAACAACCCCUGCUUCACCUGAGUAGAUAGGUCUACACCGGGAAUCCCUGCGUCCACUUCAGGCACCAGCGUGCUCGCGGUCUCCAGCCACACCCUAUGCUGCUGAGAGAUAGGAGAGAAAGCCAAAGGAACCGCAGAAGCCAGAAGAAGGUGUUGGAUCCCCUGGAACUAAAGUUUCAGACAGUUGUGAGCUGCUAUGUGGGUGCUGGAAAUCGAAUCCCAGCCCCUCUGGAAAAGCAGCCAAUGAACACCUGAGCCAUCUCUCCAGCUAUGCACCCUUCCCCACAGAACUUAAAAGAAAUUUUUUCCACUGGGCUACGGUGGUGCACAGUUUCAAUCCCAGCACUCGGGAGGCAGCUGAGGGUUUAUUGAGCAUGUACUAUAUACCUACCUCUCUGUCUUUGCUGCAACACUAUGAAUUAGAGACAACACUUUCACUCUUAAGGCAGGUGGAUCUCUGGUAGUUCAAGACCAGCCUGG
rnacentral:lncRNA from 1 species